rnacentral:rRNA from 1 species
UACGGAGGGGGCUAGCGUUGUUCGGAUUUACUGGGCGUAAAGAGCGCGCAGGCGGUCGUUCAAGUCGCGUGUGAAAGCCCCCGGCUCAACUGGGGAGGGUCACGCGAUACUGAUCGACUCGAAGGCAGGAGAGGGUAGUGGAAUUCCCGGUGUAGUGGUGAAAUGCGUAGAUAUCGGGAGGAACACCAGUGGCGAAGGCGACUACCUGGCCUGUUCUUGACGCUGAGGCGCGAAAGCUAGGGGAGCAAACGGG